rnacentral:rRNA from 1 species
GUGGGGAAUUUUGGACAAUGGGCGCAAGCCUGAUCCAGCAAUGCCGCGUGCAGGAAGAAGGCGCUACGCGUUGUAAACUGCUUUUAACCGGGAAGAAACCCCAGGACGUGUCCUGGGUUGACGGUACCGGAGGAAUAAGCACCGGCUAACUUCGUGCCAGCAGCCGCGGUAAUACGAAGGGUGCAAGCGUUAUCCGGAUUCAUUGGGUUUAAAGGGUGCGUAGGCGGAGCGUUAAGUCAGUGGUGAAAUCCUGCAGCUUAACUGUAGACUUGCCAUUGAUACUGGCGCUCUUGAGUGCGCUUGAAGUGGGCGGAAUGUGCCGUGUAGCGGUGAAAUGCUUAGAUAUGGCACAGAACACCAAUUGCGAAGGCAGCUCACUAAGGCGAUACUGACGCUGAGGCACGAAAGCGUGGGGAUCGAACAGGAUUAGAAACCCCAGUAGUCC